UAUGCUCUACUCUUUUCAGUACGAAAGGACCAAAAGAGUGAAACCCAUACCUUAAGCAAGUUUCCAUCACUUCAUGAAGUAAUAUCAAAUUAAUAGUACCAAAUCACCCAAGAACAGGGC
rnacentral:rRNA from 1 species